AAGAGUGCAGGGCACUACUGUUUCAUGUCUGAAUAGAGAUUAGAUCCUACAUGAUUCCUAAGAUCAAGGAAGCCAGAUUAGUUUUGAGAAUAUUCUUUACUCCUCUCCUCAGCUGCAUGAAGCAGAAUCUGUUGUACAGCUUCAUGACUGACAAAUGCAAAAGGAAGAUGCCAGAGGCAUAUUUGCUGCUGAAAGAUGAAAUUUGUGCUUUCAUAUUUGAACUGUCAGCUGUAAGCAGUUAGUAGACUUUGUGAUCAUUCAUCUCAUAGCAAUCACUAAACAUCCAACUGAUGGCGAUGAUUUCUCUGUUAUACUUCUGUUGGUUUAUUCAGGUUCCCUUGGCAGUAAUGCUUACUCUAGGCUAUAUUUAGACAUAAGAUGGAAGGAGACUUAAGUAUUUCAUUAAAUUUUCACCACUGACAUUUGUGAGUGAAGAAGAAGGAAGAAGUUACAGAUGAACCAAGUGUGCUAACUCUCAGGUCUUAAACUGACUUCUGAUGGUAAAAAUGGAGAUUAGAAGUUCCCAGUGCAUAUGAUUUUACCGUGACUGGCAUACAUGACAAGAAGAACACUCUUUUCCUACCACCUUUUUUUGGACUGAGAAAUGAAGAUGCUGAACAUGAUGAAUACUCACACAGACCAGAAAUGCAGUGAUCAGGACUGUCCACAGUACUCAAGAUGUGUGGAGGAGCCUACUUAUCCAUCCCUUGAUGCCUGAAGUCUGAAAGAGAUAAUUGUGUAAAAUACAGCUUUAUUAUGAUGGUACUAGAAUUGAAAGGAACAGUAACAUUUUGCCAUAACAGAAAAGAAAAUUAACUGUUUAAUGGUGAUUGGUUGAAAAUAACAGCAGAUGAUUAUAACAAUGAUUAUAUAGAAAUCACUGUGAGAUGAAAAAGGAACUACCUUGAUGAGUAGCUCAUAAGAUGCUUAGACUGGAUUUCAUUCUGAUAAGCACAGUCUAUGGUAAAUGUUUGGCUAAGGAUAUUUUAAGACUGUGGAGGACACCUGAUGGCAAAUCUGACUGCUGAUGGGAGGGAAGAGAAGAGCCUGCUUGAGCCCGAGACAAACAAGUUGUGUGUGUGGAGCCUGCUCUGCACUGCUAAGUGUUUCCUGGGUGGCAAAAAACAGUUCUCCAGAAUUAAGAGCAUGGACCUUCACCCAUAUCCCCAGAGGGUAGUACUUUCAUCCCCAGAGGGCAUGACUUUCCUUGUGUUGCUGCAUUAUGUGGCUGGGGGCCUGGAAGGUGGCGAGUGCUGUAGGGACAGGCCAGCUGGUGCAUGAUAACGAGCCAGCGCACCUUCUGCUUGUAUGACUUGAAUGGAAAAUGAUGUUGAGAAUCUGUGAAAGUUUCCUGAAACAUAAGGUUUUUCUCUCUUAAUUCUAACUGGACGAGAAGAAACUGAAGGAUUUCUAAACGCUGUUGAAGAUAUGCUGGAGGUGAUCCAAUGUAGAAAUCCAGAACUCAACUGCUAUGCAAGAAAUAAGUGAAUAAAGCACUGACAAUUUUUAGAAAAGGUGUCGAAGUUGUAUUUUCUGCCUUAAGAUUUUUGAGAUAAAGCUGUCACUCAAUAGACAGAACAGAAAGCUCAUCUGGAUGGCAGACAGUUCACACUGACCUGUGUUGUAGAACAGACUGAUUUCACUCACAUUUGCUUGUGAACUACAGAAACUGCAAGAGAUAAAGUAUGCCUAUCCAACAGCAUGUUAUCUGCUGAAAAUUUUAUUGAUGUGAAAACAUUUUUUACUAAUGGACUUGUUGGAAAAUUGCACCUAGUGUACUCAGGUUUUAUUCUGUUUUGUUAACACAGGCUGUUUAAGUCAUACUUAGCUUCUUCAGGAGCUGUCUGAACAAUCACCACUGAAGAGAGUAGGAAUAUAUGGAGUUCUUGUUAUCAUCUGUGUUUGUUGAUGAUGGGAGUGACAGGCAGUUGUAUACACUGGAUUAGUCAUGUUGACUUGUCAGGUAGCAAAGGGACAGAGUGUGGCUACAUGCCAUUUUCCCAAGUUUCACUGAGACAUGUUCUUAUUUUUUUCUGUCAUUUUUGAUGAAAUACAAACAAACUAUACAUUAGCUACCUGUGCACCACCAGAGUAUUUGUAAUAUAAAUUCUCUGUAGUACAAAAUCUCCUUCUACCAGAGAUUGCCAGAGCUUUAUUUAUGUGCAUGCAUACAUGUAUCUGUAUGAGGGAGAGGAUGUGCUUAUCAUCAGGUACUGUUCUUUUAAAAAGAACAAACCUGGCAAGUAAUUUAUCAUAUUGCUUGACAGAUCUGCCUCUGCAGACUGUAGAGUGCUCCCAAGCUAAGCUCUUUUCAUGUCCUGUGCUGCUCCUCAGAUUCUCAUCUAUUUCCUGAAAAUGCUGUGGGUUUCUGCUCACUUAAC
ensembl:lncRNA